rnacentral:rRNA from 1 species
GAUGAACGCUAGCGGGAGGCUUAACACAUGCAAGUCGAGGGGCAGCAUAGGGUAGCAAUACUCUGAUGGCGACCGGCAAACGGGUGAGUAACGCGUAUGCAACCUACCCUGUACAGGGGGAUAACCCGGAGAAAUUCGGACUAAUAUCCCGUAAUAAUAUCCGGAGGCAUCUUUGGAUAUUUAAAGUUCCGACGGUACGGGAUGGGCAUGCGUAACAUUAGCUGGUUGGUAAGGUAACGGCUUACCAAGGCUAUGAUGUUUAGGGGUCCUGAGAGGGUGGUCCCCCACACUGGUACUGAGACACGGACCAGACUCCUACGGGGAGGCAGCAGUGAGGAAUAUUGGUCAAUGGGCGCAAAGCCUGAACCAGCCAUCCCGCGUGCAGGAAGACGGCCUACUGGGUUGUAAACUGCUUUUCCAGGGAGAGAAACUUACGCACGUGUUGCGUGACUGACGGUACCCUGGGAAUAAGCAUCGGCUAACUCCGUG